GGAUGUGAGGGCGGUCUGGCUGAGACAUCUCUCCACUGAUUGCCAGGGUGAUCUUGCUGAUCAGGCUGGCUAGGCAAGUGUCCUCUUACUCCUUCACAGCCUCAUGCUUGUCCCUCCCAAAGCUGUAUGCUUUCUCCUAUCCCAGAGAUAAGCACCAGGACUGUUUUAGCUGUGCUCCCCUGCGAGAAGCUCCAAAGAGGCUCUCAAAGAUGUGGGCUGGGGCUAUAGCUCGGUGGUAAAAUGUUUUUUUUCGU
rnacentral:snRNA from 1 species